UGAAGAGCUCAGCCACAAUGAACCAUGGGAUGGGGCCUGGGCCAAUCUCAAAGAAGGCCACGAAGCUGAAGAUGGCCACGAUGCUAACUGCACCAUUAUACAUACCAGCAGUGCCAUGGCAACUGUCAUCAGGACCGCUGAGAAUGCCAUCCCCAGUAACCCAGUGAGGUGAAGGGAUCUUCGCCCUGCACGCUCUACAACGAAUAGCUAUAUAAAGAAAGCGAGGAAGAGGAGAAGAAAGUAUGCGCCCAACGAGCUCAAACCAAGGCCACGCCUCCAAGAAGCCACGCCUCCAGAUCGUCUAAUAGGCUGCCGCAGC